UACGAAGGGGGCUAGCGUUGCUCGGAAUCACUGGGCGUAAAGCGCACGUAGGCGGCUUUUUAAGUCAGGAGUGAAAUCCUGGAGCUCAACUCCAGAACUGCCUUUGAUACUGAGAAGCUCGAGUCCGGGAGAGGUGAGUGGAACUGCGAGUGUAGAGGUGAAAUUCGUAGAUAUUCGCAAGAACACCAGUGGCGAAGGCGGCUCACUGGCCCGGUACUGACGCUGAGGUGCGAAAGCGUGGGGAGCAAACAGG
rnacentral:rRNA from 1 species